ACGGCAAACAGACACCAGGCGACACAGUGAGUCCUGUUCAGGCAGCCCGAGGUUUGGAGAGAAGGGAAACCACUAUGGUUCACGGUACCAGGGAGAGCAUACCGGCCAAGCCUUUCUCACUUCAAAACCACAUACUUUGAGAACCUGUCAUCUUACCAAUGCCAAGUUCUUCACUGCUCACUUUCAGAGUUCUAGAACACGACUGGCUCACACUUUCGAGGCAUCCAGCCGAUGACAUAAGCCAUGGCUCACCACGGAUCGUGGAAGGAUUAUUUGGUCCCAGACUAUGGCAAGCCUUCACGUAGCAUGCCCAGGAGGAAGUCGGAGUACUAGAUUCCGGCCGACGAGAUACGUACCAGGUCGUAACUCUGUGUCAAAUGUGAACGUGUGCAACGGGGAGGGAUGUGGCUACCACUCAUCUUCAGAGCGGUUACCGAUUCUAAGACAACAGCGUACAGACGACAGCGCCGACACACACACGGGCUCCUAAGAGACCGCGAGCGCCCGGGUUCGUGGCGCCACCAAAACAAGCUGCAGCGCAGUCUCGACUUCGUGGGGCGGGAAAAGCUGGGCGCCUUCCUUCCUUCCCCGAUGUCAGAAAUAACGGGGUGGGGGGGGGGCACAAAGGUAGCGUUUUACCUGGUCUUUGAGGCUCUCUUUAAUCUUCCUGAAUUGCAUAUACUUAAGGCGUUUAUCUCAUAGGGAAUACGGUUUUUAAUCCCCUUAGCCGUUUCUCAGACCGUGAAAUAUGAAGCCGCCUAAGCUUCCCCUUCCCCAGCAUCCCGAGCUGUCUCCCCGGACCCCCUGCCGUUAUCUGGGAAAGGGCAUCGUGGGUCAUCACUGGCAAUAGUGGAUACCCAGAAUGACAAUGCUCCCUCCCUUCCCGCCUGUCCUUGUCACCACGCGUUUGCCCUCUGGCAGCUCUCUGACGGAUCCUAAGGUGGAGGUGUGAGCCGGGCGCAUAUGCAGGGCAGGGCCGAGGCUUCUCUAUCACAGAAGAAGGUUCCAAACGUACUAGGAGUCCCGGGGACCUAAUCGCAGGCCCUGAGUACACCAGUCAUACAGUGUAUUUUCUCAUGUAUUUCUUGCUAAUACCCAUCGUUCCCCUUCUGCCCGAGUGGUUCGAAAUAGGAAGAUUUAAGGAAACCGUGAAUCUUCGAGCAAAGCGACAUUCUUCAACGUGCCCUCCCUGAGGAGUAUGGUGCACAGUGUAAACAACGAACAGCAACCCGGAUGGAAGAAAAAAAUUGGGGCUAUUUCUGGUCUGUUAAUUGCUAAGUCCAACAUACCAGUCCGUUAGUCACUCUGCGUAUAAAUACUGGCUUCUAAAGAAAGGAUAUAUCGCUUUCCUGAGAAUGUUUGACAAAUGGAGCGAAGCCUUGGCCGAUGAAUAGGACGCUUGUGUGGCAGACACACGAACGCACCUGGAGGUGUCGUCAGACGUUUGGGAGUAAACACCUGACUAGCUGCAAUGAGACGGAGUUCAUGAGUCAUGGCUGAAAAGCAGUCUUUCAUAGAAUCUCACAGAAAAUCAGAAAGGGUUCCUUUCCCUUAAAAACAGAACACGUACGGAACGAUUCAAUGCUAUGUGCAACCUCACUUGUACGCUACAUUCAGAGAAAAACUCAUAAAUCUCCUUUGGGUCACUGAUAAACAGUUUGAGAUUAUACCCGGUAACAGGAGGGUUGGAUAGAGAUUAUCAAACAAAAACUAGGUGCCCCUGGAUUUCCACCAGGCUAGAUUCUACGCGAGUAUUACUCUGUCCAUAUACGAAGCUUUUCUUAAUGUUGCGCGUGUUAUGUGGGCACCUUCCAGCUUGCGUAUCAGAAAACGAGUGCUUCCGACCUGGCAGCAGCAGGACGCGCGUUUUCAGUUUUCCUAGCGGUGGGGAAGCAGCAGGCGGUCGUCUGGUGGUCACGACAAGUAUGCGACGUUCAAGUUUCACCCUUGGCCAAAUCUUCUGGCUGCCAUUUUCAGUUAUUUUAAGAAGUCGACCCAGUUUGAUUACUCGCUCACACCACCAUUUCAUUUUCCAUCCCUGCCCCAAGAAAAGACUCCUGGGGCAGUACGUACAACCCACUGGGCAGUGGCCGGUGAAGGGAACUAGUGGCUGUAUAAUAUGGCAGAUGGCCUUACUUCCCUCCCCAUCCACACCCCCCCCCCAGCCUGGUCCUCAACUCGAAAGGCCAAGGGUAAAGGCACUGAUCUACAUAACUUUGCAGACUGAAAGCGUUCAAUAACAAAACUAUAAAUUCCUGUCCUCAAAAUGUCCUCUCAGUAUAUGGAUGGCCACUGAAAAUGGAUUCUGAUCCAAUUACCUGAGCCUCUAAUUUGUCUAUACGAGGCCCAUCUCGGGGCAACGUGGAUUUUCUUUUUGUGAGGACCUCUCUCUUCUCUGCUUUCACAGACCUAUAAAUCAAAUGCAAUACAAAAUGAUAGUCCCUGGUUUUAAAAACCGUUUGUGGGGGAGGCCUGGGUGGCUCAGUCGGUUAAGGGUCUGACUUCGGCUCAGGUCACGAUCUCACGGUUCUUGA